rnacentral:rRNA from 1 species
AACGAACGCUGGCGGCAGGCCUAACACAUGCAAGUCGAACGCUCUAGCAAUAGAGAGUGGCAGACGGGUGAGUAACGCGUGGGAACCUUCCCUAUGGUGUGGAAUAACUCGCCGAAAGGCGAGCUAAUACCGCAUAAGCCCGCAAGGGGAAGAUUUAUCGCCAUAGGAUGGGCCCGCGUAGGAUUAGCUAGUUGGUGAGGUAAUGGCUCACCAAGGCGACGAUCCAGCUGGUUUGAGAGAAUGACCAGCCACACUGGGACUGAGACACGGCCCAGACUCCUACGGGAGGCAGCAGUGGGGAAUCUUGGACAAUGGGCGCAAGCCUGAUCCAGCCAUGCCGCGUGAGUGACGAAGGCCUUAGGGUUGUAAAGCUCUUUU